rnacentral:lncRNA from 10 species
AUACCUAACGGUGGACCAGCUGGGUUAUAUGAAACAGCAGAAUGAAGUGGUUUGUGGCUGAAACAACCUUCCUGGGAAGAACACUGGAGUGCUCAUCUAUCAAAAAACAAACUCCAAUGUCUGAGCCCCAUCUCCCCCUAGACAAAGUAAAGAACAGAUUAAAGGGGAAGAGGAAGGGCACAAUCAGAACAGAGGUGGUGGAGGCUGGCAGAUUUCCAGUAAAGUACAAUGUUCAAAGUUGCUGCAAUUAUGGAGUAGAAUAGUACUCAACUUUAAAGCAAUCACAAGCAGGAGUUUCCCCUCCAGCCCUCACCCUGAUUUGCGUUCAUAAAAAUACAUUUUUCUCUCUCCUCAGUAAGUGAUGUAUCAGGACUGGGUACCAAUCUAUUUUACCACAGCAAAGGGGACUCUUUUUAUUCAUUCAGGUUUCUGGGACCAGAGUCAAGAUUCUAGAGAAAGGGGAAAAUCUCUAUGGUUUUAAGGGAUGUUUGUUUAUAUGCUAACUCGCUACCUGCUGAAAUUCAUUUUAAACUCCUUCAUGUAGCUAUGGGUUAGGUAAAAUUUGCACAGAAAUGUCACAAGUGGCCUCGCAACCCCCACCCGAGGAAAUGGUGAGUCAAGACUUAAGCACUCUCAACACACAUAAAAAACCCUUUGUUCUUGGUGGGAAUGAGUGAAGUCACCUGGCUAGGAGGGUGAAAUGGUGAGAAGCACAAGUAGAACUCACUGCAGGAAAAGGGCUGAGGCAAGGCGGACCAAGGUACACACUCUGAAAACUUUACCUGCUAGAACAGUCAGCAUGUUAUCCUAAACAAGAAAAGAAAAUCACCAAAGUGUGAAACUUAAUUUAUGAACAGAAAAAGACCAAGGCUUGGGCAAUUAAAACAAUCCAGCCUCCCUUUCUUUUUUAAUUUGUUUCAUGUAUUUUUAAGGUAAUUUUCUUUUCUUUUGGAAAAAGAAAUACAUUUUGCCACCUAACCUAAGCAAAUGGAGUUGCCAUUGCCCAAUUUAUCUCUAUAGUUUUGCUAAGAGGUGAAAAAACAAAAGUAGAAAUGGACUCCUAAUAGGAAGUCCAUUAGCGGGUGGGGAGGAGCUGGGGAAUGCCCCAGCUACUAGGACAGCCCGAGUGAAUCUAGGGGACCAGGCCCUUGACUGUCUCAGGGCAAAUCCUGCUCUACCUCUUCUUCUAUGGUCACCGCCCCCUGUAGACUGAGAAGGGGGCAUGAUGUAAGUAGAGCGUCUCAGAGAAAUCCAGUGGAGCAGGUCUCAGCGCUGGCUUUCCCAGGCUUUCCGACUUUGGGCCUGAGUGGUGGUUUCCAGGCCAAGUCCCAGAUCUCACCUGUAGCCAGCACCCUCUGGGAGAUGAAAAGAGGCCAAUCCUUUCCUCAACAUCUGUUCCUCCACAGUUACGGCUGGUGAGAGAGGAAUGAGCUGGAGGAAAUGGCGUGAAAAAUGGGACUGCACGUUAAGGAAGGCAGAAAGGGGGGACCUACUGGCCAGCCCUCCCAAUCCAACUGAUGAGAGUGGGGAAUCCUGUCAGGACUGCCUAGUGUCUAAGGACAACCUUUUGUGGCACAAGCCUUAACUCUCUUCUGCUGGCUGGGACUCAUCCUUAUGCACCAGUCCCUGCCCUGGAUUCCAAUGUUAUUUCAAGGAUAUAGGUGGUUAAUUAAUACUCAUAGCAACUAUCGCUUGUGGUUGCUCAAAACCCAUGCCGCUAAGGAGCUUGGUGCUAUCAUUUAAAAAAAAUUAUUUUCUUUUGUCUUAUCUGUUUGGAUUGAACAGAAAUGGUACCAUCAGACUGUGCCCCAAGGAGGUGCACAGAGCCUCCUAAUCAGGAUUGGGGAUAUCAUCCUCACCCGCUAAGUCCACCCUCAGUCAUGAGGCCCCCUCCCUGUCUUGUUCCCCAAUAGAGAAGCCUUAUAUAGUCAAAGGAAAGAACCUGAAGUUUUCAGCUGUUGUUAUUCUAAGUCUAAAUACAAGAGAAAUGUUCUGUAUCUAAAUCAUUGAGCUAUUCGGAGGGGAAAUAGUUUUAUGUCUCCUGGCAUUGAUGAAGAUUUUUCUUCAAUCUUCCUGCAAUUACUGGGUCAGGCUGUGCUGUUUUCCUUCUACCAGUUUUCAACAAACAGGCAAAAACUGUUCUGUGGUUUGAAUGGCAAAGCCACUAAGAUCUCCUCAUAAACACUUCAGGGGAAGAAAGGAGGAGAUCCUCCAUCCCUCGAUAAACAGAAAGAAGAAAGAGUUGACUACAGCAUCAGUUUCUCUAGUGCAGCAAGAAGGUUCACAUGGUCCCUCUGGAGCUCUGUGAGAUAGAUUCAGAGCACUGCUGGUUCCCAGUUUGGCUGAUGGUAAUGUCAGGAAGGGGAGGAGGAGAGGACAGCCUAAGAUCUAACGGAUGCCCCUUAUCAUUUUUAUCUGAGUAGAAUCUUUCUGGUUUAACUACAAAUGGAUACUGUUUUCUUAAAUAAGCUACCAUGGCAAUCCUCACAUUGUCUCUACUGUCCAGUUAUCCAAACAUGUGUUUGAAAUUAUCAUUUCAUUCCUCAGGGAUAGGACAAAUUUUUCACUAUAGAUUAGAUACUUAAAACACAUUUGUCUUACCUGAGUCACAUCUUUAUGGAAACUUUCCCAAGAUAGAAUCAAUCUGUGAGAAUCCAUGACUGGCAUUUAUCAUAGUUAUUAAGGAUAAUGAAAUCCAAAGCAAUAUGAGUUCAUCUACUAUACCAGCCUCAAGGGCUUCGUUUCAUAUCUGAAGGUCCACGUUGUGAAUACUGCUUUUAGCUGAGACCCAGUUACUAUCAGUCAGAAAUUCAGGUUCAAGGAAGUCAGUUUAGUCUAUUUCAAAGCCAUUUCAAUUUCACUUGGUCAGUUUCUACUUCAUUUAAAAUAAAUUUCUUCAAAAACAUUUAACUUUAAAUCUUUAAAGAUUUUACUUUCAAGAAAUAAAAU